AGAGUAGCCCAAAUGAUCGCCGGCGUUUUUGAGAUAAAGAACGCUGGAGGAAAGUCCGAGCUCCACAGGGCAGGGUGCUCCGUAACACGGAGUCGUGGUGACGCGAAGGAAAGUGCCACAGAAAGGAAACCGCCCUGCGAGUUAGCGUGUCUAACUCCCAGGGUAAGGGUGAAAGGGUGCGGUAAGAGCGCACCAGUUCUCCAGGCGACUGGGGAGGCUUGGUAAACCCCACCCGGAGCAAGACCAAAUAGGAGAGCGUUUGAGGGCGGCCCGUCCAAAGCUCUCGGGUUGGUUGCUGGAGGUGUCGAGUAAUCGACAUCCUUAGAGGAAUGAUCAUUGUUCCGUAAAGGGUGACCGAUACGGAAAACAGAACUCGGCUUAUGGUCUGCUCUGACA
rnacentral:RNase_P_RNA from 1 species